AUAGAUAAAUGGCUGAAAACACAGGACAAAACUUUGCACUAAACUUUUCUCUGUUGUGUUUACUAAUUUCGUUCAAAUUCAAAUCACACAACAAAAACUAGUUAAUAAUAAUUAACAGACAACGCCAGCAACCUAACAACAAAACUAACAGCACACUAAACAGAAGCUAAUAAUUGAAACGGAAUAAGAAGAGCUUAAAGCUCUAUUAAAAUCCUGUGCAAAAAAAUUCAAGCGGCCUCAGAUGGUCUCCUAAAUUCAUUGCUAACAACCAAAUAUAAUAAUAAAAUUUAAAAAAAUAAGGUCAAAAAUGGACCAACAGGACCUCUUGCAUUCAAAUUUUUGAACCAAAAGUCAAAUAAUGUCAACAAAAAACUGAUAUUUUCGAUUUCCAAUUUCAUAUCCUUUCAAGAAAAUAUCAAAAAACUAAAUUUUUAACAUUCCCCAAAACUGAAAAUCCAAUCUUUGGGAGAAAUCCAUGAGAGCAUGCAGUUGUAUCAGUCAAAAUAUAUUCCUUACCUCAACUAAUUGAAUUAACCAGCGGAGCUAAUUAUUAUGUAAUUACACAUCUAGAGCUAUCAGCUAUAGCGAAUCUUUAACAAACACAGAGCAAGAAGAAGCCACAAUUGCACUUAAUUGUACUUAAUUUGCUUAAAGCAAAACCACAAAGCAAAUUCCAAUAAACUAAAUUAUUUAGGCAGGAUUAAUAUGCACAUCUCUACCAGUAAAUAGUUCCCCUAAAUUGAUUUUUACUCAACAUUUCACAGUAUUAAUGUAAAUAUAGAAAACAUAACAACCAUCCUUAAUAAAAAACAGAGCAUAACUCCAAUGUCAUGUAUGUCACGAUGCAGAAUUUGCCCAACUGAAUGUGUUUCUAGUUGAUUACAUAACAAAACUAAAUAAAACUAUGAACUAUAUGAAGAUAAAAUACACACCUGGGAUACCAGUCUAACAAAAUCCCAGCAUAAGGAGGCACAUGGAAGUACUCAACGACCGUUGCACUGCCUAGCUGCUGAAACUCUUUCGGACCAAAGGACCCUGCAGACUACUCAUUAGCAAAGAUACCAUGGUGUGUGCAGGAUAAUUCACACCAAUAAAACUACAAAAUCAAUUAUAAAUUUCACUCUGAAACUGAUCUGCUUUCGUUGUAAUAGAAUCCAAGAUUGUACGUGUUAUUGCUAAAAACAAAAGCAAAAUUCCACAUCAAGCAGCAGGUAUAUAAAUGCUCUUCUUUGUAGAUUCACCUAUUAGCUCGGUGCUAACUCACACACACCAUGCAUAUAUAACGAAUCACUUUCUUUUUAGCAAACAAAAAGAAUAUCACAUGUUACGUGUAAUAAGAGUUACGAAUUACUUAUCAAAUAUAGUUAUGACCAAGCCCUCCUCUUUAAUUUUAUGAUUUAUUAUGUUAUUUAUUUCUACGAUAAUGAGAUGCUCUCGUAGAAAUUAGGGUCCACAAAUUAGUUUAAUAGUAAAAAAGAAAAAACUAACUCACAUUAAUAACAGUAAACUUUCAAAAGUGCUUUGUGUGUAAAAUAUGUACACCAAGGGAACAUCGAAGCAGCUAUCCAUACAUAUAUAUAUAAAUAAAGGUAGAAAUAUAAAGGUAGAAAUAUAAAGGUAGAAAUAUAAAGGUAGAAAUAUUGGGACCUUAUUCUACCAGUCGACUGAGCAGACCCUAGGGUCAUAAGGAAUAUCAUUACAAAGAAGCCACCGAACCUGUGCAGACUAACAAACUAAAAGGUUGUUGACAUCAAUGUAGCCGUACAAGAGAGGGUUUUAGGUGAACAUUUUGCUGUGUUAAAUUUUGAUUGAAUAGCCAGUUGCUUGAUAUAAUUUCUGUAUGUGAGUUGUUUGCUUUUAUGCUUUGAUUAAAUCAACCAAAUUAGAUAGUGCUGCAUUUGUAGAGGACCUCUCCUACAGGUGCUGAAAUAGCACUUGGUUAGUGAGUUGACGGUGCACCCUGAGAGUCAGGAACUGUUGGAUGGCGUGGAAUGAUUUUCUUCCCCUUCCCUGCUGCAGACAAACAUCAAAACCCACAACCACGUUCACCAAAAAUGCACAGAAAAAAUACCACUACCAAACUCACAAAUUUAAUCUAAGUAUUCUAAAAAACCCAUAAGUUAAAUGAAGAACCCUCCAAAGCUCAGAAAUUUAAACGAAUUUUUUUACAAAAUCAUGAAAAAUUCACUAAACAGUGGCAGGACAAGGUUGUGCAGAUGCAGUGAGAAAAAUGUACAGCUCGAAGCUAGAUUUGCAAGGGUGCCAAGGACUGAGUUUGACCCGCUGAGUCUGAGAUUUACCCUCACCGAAUCUCACACCC
rnacentral:lncRNA from 1 species